GACGAACGCUGGCGGCGUGCUUAACACAUGCAAGUCGAACGGAAAGGCCCUGCUUUUGUGGGGUGCUCGAGUGGCGAACGGGUGAGUAACACGUGAGUAACCUGCCCUUGACUUUGGGAUAACUUCAGGAAACUGGGGCUAAUACCGGAUAGGAGCUCCUGCUGCAUGGUGGGGGUUGGAAAGUUUCGGCGGUUGGGGAUGGACUCGCGGCUUAUCAGCUUGUUGGUGGGGUAGUGGCUUACCAAGGCUUUGACGGGUAGCCGGCCGGAGAGGGUGACCGGCCACAUUGGGACUGAGAUACGGCCCAGACUCCUACGGGAGGCAGCAGUGGGGAAUAUUGCACAAUGGGCCGAAGCCUGAUGCAGCAACGCCGCGUGCGGGAUGACGGCCUUCGGGUUGUAAACCGCUUUCGCCUGUGACGAAGCGUGAGUGACGGUAAUGGGUAAAGAAGCACCGGCUAACUACGUG
rnacentral:rRNA from 1 species